UGAGUUUGCCAAGACAAUCGCUGACGAAAGUUGGAGGAAAGUCCGGGCUCUACAGGGCGAGGUGCCGGGUAACACCCGGGCAGCGUGAGCUGACGGCUAGUGCCACAGAAAAUAUACCGCCUUUCGGGGUAAGGGUGAAAUGGUGCGGUAAGAGCGCACCGCAAGGCUGGUAACAGUCUUGGCAGGGUAAACCCCACUUAGAGCAAGACCAAAUAGGGAAUCGUUGCGGUGGCCCAUCGUGAUUCCGGGUAGGUUGCUACAGGCUAUUGGUAACAAUAGUCGCAGAUGAAUGAUUGUCUUUAACAGAACCCGGCUUAUCGGUAAACUCAGAUU
rnacentral:RNase_P_RNA from 1 species